rnacentral:pre_miRNA from 17 species
GCAGUCACUGAUCUAAUGGUAAGGUGCUGCAGCUGGUGUUGUGAAUCAGGCCGUCAGCAUUAAGCACCCGGCUACUUCACAACACCAGGGUUGCACCAGGCUACUGGCAACAUCUGGCUUC